ACGCGGGGGGUGGCCUAAUACCUGCCAGUCCGACCGCGUUGGCCCAAUUGAUUGAUGGUGCUUGCACCUGAUAGAUUUUGGUCGCCAACGAGUGGCGGACGGGUGAGUAACACGUAGGUAACCUGCCCAGAAGCGGGGGACAACAUUUGGAAACAGAUGCUAAUACCGCAUAACAGCGUUGUUCGCAUGAACAACGCUUAAAAGAUGGCUUCUCGCUAUCACUUCUGGAUGGACCUGCGGUGCAUUACCUUGUUGGUGGGGUAACGGCCUACCAAGGCGAUGAUGCAUAGCCGAGUUGAGAGACUGAUCGGCCACAAUGGGACUGAGACACGGCCCAUACUCCUACGGGAGGCAGCAGUAGGGAAUCUUCCACAAUGGGCGCAAGCCUGAUGGAGCAACACCGCGUGAGUGAAGAAGGGUUUCGGCUCGUAAAGCUCUGUUGUUAAAGAAGAACACCUAUGAGAGUAACUGUUCAUACGUUGACGGUAUUUAACCAGAAAGUCACGGCUAACUACGUGCCACAGCCGCGGUAAUACGUAGGUGGCAAGCGUUAUCCGGAU
rnacentral:rRNA from 1 species